GGCCAAUUAUGUCCUAGCCCUAUUCACAAUAAAAAUAAUAAAUUAACAAAGAAAAUCAAAUUAUAAAGUCCAAAUUUUUUAACAGCCCAUUAAAUGUCCAAUUACAUAACAAAACCCAAAACUAACCAGCCCAAUUACAAAUCCCUAACCCAAAACCUUGAUGGCCCAAUAGGCCCAAUGCCUAAACCAAAUUUCAGCCAAGACUAACCCUAGCCCAAAAACCAAAAAACCAAGGCAGAAACCCUAGCCUUUGCUUAGCGCCGCAGCCACCAGCAGCCACUGUACGGCCACCACGCGCGCCUCCGUACGCCUCACGCUAGGUGCCAACACACGCUCCGUACCUGCAAAAAAAACAAGCAAACAGCAGCAAUAAUAGCCAAUAUGAAAGCAAAAAGAAAAAUUGUAUUUUUAUUUGAACAUUCGGCUAUAAAGCCAUGGGGGAAUCGAUUGUAAUUUUUUUACAGAGAUACACGCAUACUGAAAUACAAAGAAAAAGAGCAUUUUCAGAAGAUUUUUUGAAAGAGGUGAUUGUUUUGAAUCUAACAUCUCCUUCGUUUUUUGCUUUUUUCAUGAUUUAUGUUCAUUUAAAAGGGAGUAAAAAAAGGGGGAUUUACCUUCAUAUUGGCUCAUUCGAAUCUUCGCUCACUUCGUCGUAAUCGAAGUUUAGGCGAGGGCUUUGAAGCUUUUGAUCAAAACCUUGGAUUCGCGGUUGGACGGAGCCGGAUUAGGCUUUCGUGUGAUAACCGGCAGCUAAACAUGGAUGCCAAACGACAGUCCAAGGGUGCCUCUUAAUUCGGCCGAAUGAGAGGGGAAGGGAAGGGGCUUUAGGAUUUGUUGGGUUCCUUUUCAAAUGACUAAUAGUUAACUUAGGGUUUUUUUUAUUUUGUUUUAUGAAGC
rnacentral:lncRNA from 1 species